UGUUUAAACAGAUGAGUGAUCUUUUUGGUUGGCUUGAUAGUAAACCCUCCAUCUCAAUUUAUCUGAAGUCUCUCGCUCGCUCUCUGCUGAUUGAAGCUGCAGCUUCCGAUCUUUCACCAUGCCUACCUUAUCUUCGACGAUUCCGUUCCAGAUUCGAUUUAUGUUGCAGAGCGUGAACGAAGCCAACGCUGACUCUAUUUACCGAGAGCUCUGUCAGGCUUCAGUGAAGGAUGUUGCUGGUCAAUUCAAAUUUGCUGAUGGUUGUCUCAUAGUUGUCAAGUCCAACUAAGGCCCUGUUCGGCAUCUGGAACGGUCGGCGGGAAGCUACAAAAGUAGGGUCUGUUUGCGAGUAUGUUUGCACCUGCCAAAUGCACCGUUUUUGGUUUGGAUGCGUUGCGUUUGGACAAGAAAGUGGUACGUUAUUAUAUCCCACAAUACUAUUGUUCUAAUGAGAGUGUCUUUGCACUUGCCAAGUGCACCGCUUUUGGUUUGAAUGCAUCACGUUUCGGAUAAAAAA